rnacentral:rRNA from 1 species
GUACGUUGGAUACUAGGAAACUGGGGCUAAUACCGGAUAGGAGCCCCUGCUGCAUGGUGGGGGUUGGAAAGUUUCGGCGGUUGGGGAUGGACUCGCGGCUUAUCAGCUUGUUGGUGGGGUAGUGGCUUACCAAGGCUUUGACGGGUAGCCGGCCUGAGAGGGUGACCGGCCACAUUGGGACUGAGAUACGGCCCAG